UGUAACAAGUUGCUUUGACACAAGCCAUGUAUGCAACCUGCUGAAAUCAGACAUUUCUCAGUAACUUAUCUUUCUCCUGUUGAUUUUCCUAGUCAAUUGGACUGAUGACACGAGUCAUUUGUCGAGGGGGAAAAGAAGAAGACUGCAUAUAGUUGUUAAUCAUUGGUUGUUGAUAUACUUAUUUUAUGUAGGCAUUUUAAGGUAUUUUUGUAUCCAUUUUCCCCUUUAACUUUAUGUUCUAUAGCAUUUUU
rnacentral:misc_RNA from 1 species